rnacentral:rRNA from 1 species
UACGUAGGGUGCGAGCGUUAAUCGGAAUUACUGGGCGUGAAGCGUGCGCAGGCGGUUCUCCAAGUCCGUUGUGAAAGCCCCGGGCUCAACCUGGGAAUGGCAGUGGAAACUAGGGGACUGGAAUCUGGCAGAGGGGGGUGGAAUGCCGCGUGUAGCAGUGAAAUGCGUAGAGAUGCGGCGGAACACCGAUGGCGAAGGCGGGUCUCUGGGCAGUAACUGACGCUGAGGAGCGAAAGCGUGGGGAGCGAACAGG